CAAAAUAAAGCUAAAUCCUAGCAUUUCACUUACGUUGAGAAGGUUUGUCACAGUUGACUUGUUUUGA
rnacentral:tRNA from 1 species